ACAUACCGGAAGUGCCCUAGCGGCGGCGGAAGCGGAAGUACCACGGCGGUGGGGGCCGCGGGAAGCAUCGGUCGCAAUUUUCCCUCCCUCUCGACCACAAUAACAGACGAAGGGCCGGCGUAGGUACUUUGAAUUCAAAUAACCAAGAGGGGAGAUUUGCUCUUCUAUAUUGGAGAUAACGCAGCAGCGAUGGGUCCACGAAAGAAAAGUGUUAAAAGAUGUCUUAUGAAUAAUGAGAUCCCUGAGGAAACAGUAUCAGAGGAAACAAAAGAUUAUAUGAAUCAGCUUUCACAUGAAGUGCUUUGCCAUAUUUUUAGGUACCUCCCUCUGCAGGAUAUCAUGUGUAUGGAAUGUCUUUCCCGGAAGCUAAAGGAAGCAGUGACCCUGUACCUGAGAGUUGUGAGGGUUGUGGAUCUCUGUGCUGGGCGCUGGUGGGAAUACAUGCCAAGUGGCUUCACAGAUUCCAGUUUUCUGACACUAUUGAAGAAGAUGCCAGACGUCGAACAGCUAUAUGGCCUUCACCCUAGAUACCUUGAGAGGCGGAGGGUGCGUGGCCAUGAAGCUUUUAGCAUUCCAGGUGUUCUGGAAGCUUUGCAGGCAUGCCCAAACUUAGUGGGUGUGGAGACUUCUCAUUUGGAGUUGGUAGAAUCCAUUUGGACGUAUAUGCCUCAUGUUCAUAUUUUGGGGAAGUUUCGGAAUCGUAAUGGAGCAUUUCCAAUUCCUCCUGAAAAUAAACUGAAAAUUCCUAUAGGAGCAAAAAUUCAAACUUUGCAUUUAGUUGGGGUGAAUGUUCCUGAAAUUCCUUGUAUCCCAAUGUUAAGGCACCUUUAUAUGAAGUGGGUAAGACUCACUAAGCCACAGCCAUUCAAAGACUUUCUUUGCAUCAGCUUGAGAACUUUCGUCAUGAGGAACUGUGCAGGUCCCACAAACUCCUUGAAAUAUGUCCCUUUAGUAACAGGCCUGGCCUCUGCCCGAAACUUGGAACACUUAGAAAUGGUUCGAGUUCCUUUCCUUGGAGGUCUUAUCCAACAUGUAGUUGAAGACAGCUGGAGAUCAGGUGGUUUUAGAAAUUUGCACACCAUUGUUUUGGGAGCUUGCAAAAAUGCUCUUGAAGUAGACCUUGGUUACCUCAUUAUCACUGCUGCUCGUAGGUUACAUGAAGUUCGGAUCCAGCCUUCCCUAACCAAAGAUGGUGUCUUUUCUGCCCUAAAAAUGGCAGAGUUGGAGUUCCCCCAGUUUGAAACCCUUCAUCUGGGAUAUGUAGAUGAGUUUUUGCUGCAGAGCAGAAUGGCUAAUGCAGAUCUGGUGAAGUACGGUCUGGCCGAUGUGGUAGAAAAUCCUGGUAUUAUCACCGACAUAGGGAUGAAGGCAGUCAACGAAGUUUUUUCCUGUAUCAAAUAUCUGGCAAUUUAUAAUUGCCCCCAUCUACAUAAUCCAUACAAUUGGAUCUCAGAUCACUCAAGAUGGACACGAUUGGUUGAUAUCAACUUAGUGCGGUGCCAUGCUUUGAAGUUGGACUCCUUCGGCCAGUUUGUUGAAUUAUUGCCCAGCCUGGAGUUUAUUUCACUGGACCAGAUGUUUCGUGAACCACCCAAGGGCUGUGCUCGAGUUGGUCUAAGUGCAGGCACUGGAAUUGGGGUGUCUUCAGCCCUUGUCAGCAACCAGAACUCUAACAACGACAAUGAUAACAAUGCCCAGAAUAAUGCCAACAUCCAUGACAACAAUCAUCAUCCAGAUGACUCAGAUGAGGAGAAUGACUUCCGGCAGGAUCUACAACCAGGAGAGCAGCAGUUUGCAGCCGACGCAUUGAAUGAGAUGGAAGACAUGGUGCAAGAAGAUGGAGAGGUGAUGGCUGAGAGUGGACAUGAGACUCCAGCUCACGGUCAGGCAGUUCUUCCUGUGGAUGUUGAUGAGGAACAAGCAGGACCCAGUGGGCUUCAGCGUGUAGUAAAACCAACCCCAAUUACUGUUCAUGAUUCAGAGAGUGAUGAUGAGGAAGAUAGUCUAGAGCUCCAAGAAGUCUGGAUUCCUAAGAAUGGUACUCGGCGUUUCUCUGAGCGGGAAGAAAAAAAGAGAGAGUCAGAGCAGUCCAGGGAAUUGUCAGUAAGUGGAAAAGGCAAGACUCCACUUCGAAAGAGGUACAACUCCCAUCAGAUGGGCCAAUCGAAGCAGUUUCCCCUCGAGGAAAGCAGCUGUGAGAAAGGCUGUCAGGUCACCAGUGAGCAGAUCAAAGCCGAUAUGAAAGCAGCUAGGGAUAUUCCUGAAAAGAAAAAAAACAAGGAUGUGUAUCCCAGCUGCAGCAGCACCACCGCCAGCACAGUGGGAAACUCCAGCUCACUCAGCACUGCUUCUCAAAGCCCUGACUGUGUAAGGACGGUGAACAGCAGCGGAAAAGUGUCUGCUCCCCCGCUGGGUCAGAGGACUCUGAGGCCAUGGAGGAGGGAGAUGCAGAGAGUGCUGUCUGCCCCAGAUGCUGCUGUCACAGGCCCCAGGAAUCCCAAAGGAGAACUAGCAGGUGUUCUGAUGAGGAACGUCCUUCAACCAGCCGAGCCUGUGUUGUGAAUGGCCCGGAUGAGGUUGCGAAAACAAAGCCACGGCAUACUAUGAAGCGGAAGCGGACAGCAGAUAAGUCCACCAGUACCAGUGAUCCUGUGAUUGAGGAUGACCAUGUGCAGGUCCUUGUGUUAAAGUCCAAAAAUCUUGUUGGAGUCACUAUGACCAACUGUGGAAUCACAGAUCUGGUGCUAAAAGACUGUCCCAAGAUGAUGUUCAUCCAUGCUACCAGGUGCAGGGUACUGAAGCAUUUAAAAGUAGAAAAUGCACCACUUGUAAACCGAUUUGACUAUGCACAAUGCAAGAAACUGAACAUGGAUCAGGUACUAGACCAGAUACUACGGAUUCCUCCUGAUAGAAACCGCAUCAUAUACCUACGCCCAAUGCAGCAGGUGGACACGCUGACAUUGGAGCAGAAGCUGUUCAGUGGCCCCUACCCCUACCACAUCUGUAUCAUCCAUGAGUUCAGUAACCCUCCCAAUGUGCGGAACAAGGUGCGCAUUCGCAGCUGGAUGGACACCAUAGCAAACAUCAAUCAAGAGCUCAUUAAGUAUGAAUUCUUCCCCGAAGCCUCACGAACUGAAGAUGACUUGAAGAAGUACCCCAAGUACCCCUGGGGCCGAGACAUCUAUACUUUAGAAGGGGUUGUGGAUGGCGCUCCGUAUUCCAUGAUUUCUGACUUCCCCUGGUUGAGAUCACUACGGGCAGCAGAACCCAACAGCUUCGCCAGAUACGAUUUCGAAGAUGAUGAAGAAAGCACCAUCUAUGCUCCUCGAAGGAAAGGGCAGCUGUCAGCAGACAUCUGUAUGGAGACAAUCGGAGAAGAAAUUUCAGAGAUGCGUCAGAUGAAGAAGGGGGUGUUUCAGCGAGUGGUGGCAAUUUUUAUCCACUACUGUGAUGUCAAUGGAGAGCCGGUUGAAGAUGACUACAUUUGACUGGUCCCUCCUAUUUCCCUGCUGUUUUGGCAGAGCCAGGGGCCGUACAGCUGCCAGAGAGGCCCCGGGGACUCGGGACUGCGGCUCAGUGUGUUGCAGGAAAUGUAUCAGGAACACUGAAGCUGUAUACAAAGAUUUGUACAUAAGGAGCUGUACAAAGACACUUCCUGAGUACCAACUGUAUAUCAUAUGUUUAUACAGUUUAAUUUAAAAGUUCAUUUUAAUGAAGGCAGAUCAUUGGAAGGAGUUCAUUUUCUUGACUUAGUUUAUAAAGUCACUGGCUGAGCCUCCAUUUACUAUAUUCUUCAUAAUCAUUGUCACCCCCUUAAAUCUGUGCCUUUUCUUCUCGAGCGAAGCAGUUUGAGUAAAUCUGUUGAAGAGUCUUUGUGUCUUGUGUGCUUUCUUUGUGCUACUAUUAAGCUGAAACCCUAUAGUCAGAGGUGGCUACAUGUUUCUGUACAAAAUUGUGGUGUUUUUUCUUUCUUGGUAUUAUAGUUGCCAUAUUUCUUAAAAUCAAGUAAAAAGACUCAUGAGUUUAUAAAACAACUCAGUUUUGAGAGAGAAAUGGGAAAGUUUCCAAAGCAUUUCUAGUUAUUUAUUUCCACAUUCAAUUGUGUACAUGCUUUAUCUUGAAUAUAAAAAUAAAAGUUUGCUAAAAACUUU